GCAGGUGUAGCUCAGCGAUAGGGCACGUGCCUGGCGUGCACGAGGUCCUGGGUUCGAUCCCCAGUACCUCCG
rnacentral:tRNA from 1 species